AGUCAUGAAGGUGUCCCUAUAU
rnacentral:piRNA from 1 species